UACGGAGGGUGGCAAGCGUUGUCCGGAAUCACUGGGCGUAAAGGGCGCGUAGGCGGCUCAUGAAGGCUGUGGUGAAAGUCCGGGGCUCAACCUCGGAUCGGCCGUGGCGACUCGUGGGCUGGAGCACUGUAGAGGCGGGUGGAAUUCCGGGUGUAGCGGUGGAAUGCGUAGAGAUCCGGAAGAACACCAGUGGCGAAGGCGGCCCGCUGGGCAGUGGCUGACGC
rnacentral:rRNA from 1 species